CAGCCAUUGAGACUUCGAACAGUAGGCUCGUCAACAUCAUAUAGAACAGAAACGUUCGAGAUGUCUAAGUCAUCUGGUACUACCAACAGAGAAAUACUUGCAUAAAGAAGAUCGAUUGAUAUUCCAUCAAACUUGAAUUUCAUCACAGGGACAUGAGCAUCAGGAACCGGUUGCAGCUCUGAAACUUCUUCCAUUUCUGACAAAAUGUUGUGCAAUACAAAGAAGAAGUCCUCCUCCCUAUUGACAUAAGAUGGCCCAACACAUAAUGUGUCAAUGUCAGCCCCAGGACCAUGUACCCCAAGCCGAUAAGAGCCAAAUGUGAAAAUGACAGCAUUGGCCUCCUCCACCAUUUGAUCUGUGUACCCCCUCAAGCGAGUAAGCUGCUUCACCCAAUC
rnacentral:misc_RNA from 1 species